rnacentral:lncRNA from 1 species
UUAACUGGAGCGUCUUCUUCCUCUCCCGCAUCGGCAUUACCUCCAAAGAUCCAGAUCUAACUGGGGGGAGAGUGAGGUGAGGGGGAGCAAGCUAGCUAGGUUUGUGCCACUGUGGUGGUGGGUGCUGCCUGGAGGAGAUGGAUGGAUGUAGACCGGGGACAUGAGCGUCCUCAUCGACAGCACAAAGCUCUUGACGAUCAGGCAAGCUCGAUCGUCUUCACCUCACGCCGGAGUAGUCGCUGACCAGGUACGCGCGUACGCCCGCCCUUAAUUAAUGCAGCCGCACGGCAUCACCUUGGCUUGUGCAUGUACCUCAUACAUGGUGCUUCGCCCACCCACACAGCAUCGAUCUCGACGGAGAUUAACCAAAAAAAGGGGAUGGAGGGACGGAGUUAAUUUCUGGAGUAGGAUGCUUGCUAGUACUACUAGUACUUUCAUUUCAUGCAUGAGAAAUUGAAUUAAUGGGUUCUGCCCUAGAGUCUAGACCUUCUUUCUUAAUUAUAGGACAGUGGGGAGGCCGCCGUCCUGGGGUAGAGCAUGGGGAUCUCAUCGCCGCCGCGCUCGGUGCUGUCUUCGCCACCGCCCUCGCGUACAAGGGGGAGGAGGUUGGCGGAGCCGGAGCGUCGAGCUCCAGUGGCUUUCAGCCUCCGACCAAACGCCUGCUCGAGGGGUUGGGGCACUCAGUAUGAUCAGAUCUGACAAAAUGAGCAAGAAGAAGAAGAAGACCAAGUUAUUUAAUUUACCUACGUGACAUUUUUUUCUGCCAAAUCAUUCCGACGAGUGGGUCCGGUCCUUCAGUGACGUCAUCAAAGCGAGUUUUUUUGCCACAGUCAACGAUAGUGUUCUUUCAUGAACCGUCAAGUAUAGUGGUUUUCCUUUAAUUGUGAUACAAAACAAAAGUGAUGGUUCGAUGCAUUUAAGUGUGGAAUAUCACAGCAAACUACAUGGGGCUCCCAGUAUAGUACUCCCUCCGUCUUAAAUUUUUUUGUCUUAGAUUUGUCUAGAAAUGGAUGUAUCAAAAUACUAAAACGUGACUAGAUACAUUCAUAUAUAGACAAAUCUAAGACAAGAAUUAUGAAACGGAGGGAGUAUGCAACAACGAUCUGAUGCUUACCAACUGAACCAAGUUUGACUCUUGAGACAAAUAUGCAAUCAGCACUACAAAUCCGUACUCUUCUCUUUCUCUCUCCACAUUGUGUUCUCCAUAGAUGUGUUUUAUUAUCUGUAUAUAUUUAUAUACAACAAGUAAUACAUAUAUCAUUAGUGUUCUAAAUAGUAAUGUAGAGAUUUGAAAUGUUUUAAUUAAAAGAUGGUCCCAGUUAUUUUGGAAUAAAUAUUUUAACUAUUACAAGAAACUAGUUUAAAAUAUUUAUAUAUAUUGGUUCUAUUACAAAUGCUUCACUUUUUUUUUAUAUACAGAGAAGCAAGUGGGCCAGGAAGAGAUAAGCACAACUGCUUGACUAGUCAGCCAAGGCGUCAUGAAAUACACAUUUUGUUAGGCGAGCACGACAACAUCAUCCCCUUCAUUUCAUUCCUUGCACGCGUGAAUGGAGCAUCGGACGGAUCCCAUUUGCAACAUGCACAUGGAGUCAUUAAUUGCACCUGGAAUUCCACCACAAUCUACCAUAUGCUUUUGACGAUGAACAAUAUAUCCAUCUUAAUAAUAUACUCCCU